rnacentral:rRNA from 1 species
UACGUAGGGCGCAAGCGUUGUCCGGAAUUAUUGGGCGUAAAGAGCUCGUAGGCGGCUUGUCACGUCGGAUGUGAAAGCCCGAGGCUUAACCUCGGGUCUGCAUUCGAUACGGGCUAGCUAGAGUGUGGUAGGGGAGAUCGGAAUUCCUGGUGUAGCGGUGAAAUGCGCAGAUAUCAGGAGGAACACCGGUGGCGAAGGCGGGUCUCUGGGCCACUACUGACGCUGAGAAGCGAAAGCAUGGGGAGCGAACAGG